rnacentral:rRNA from 2 species
UACGUAUGAGGCAAGCGUUGUUCGGAAUUAUUGGGCGUAAAGGGCAUUCAGGCGGGGUGUUAAGUCGGAUGUGAAAUCUCAAGGCUCAACCUUGAAACUGCAUCCGAUACUGGCGCUCUUGAGUCAGGGAGAGGAAGGCGGAAUUCCCGGUGUAGCGGUGAAAUGCGUAGAUAUCGGGAAGAACACCGGUGGCGAAGGCGGCCUUCUGGCCUAUGACUGACGCUGAAGUGCGAAAGCGUGGGGAUCAAACGGG